UACAGAGGGUGCAAGCGUUGUUCGGAAUUAUUGGGCGUAAAGGGAGUGUAGGCGGCUAGGAAAGUCUUCUGUGAAAUCUACGGGCUCAGCCUGUAACGUGCAGAGGAAACUAUCUGACUAGAGUGUCGGAGAGGAUAGGGGAAUACCCAGUGUAGAGGUGAAAUUCGUAGAGAUUGGGUGGAACACCAGUGGCGAAGGCGCCUGUCUGGCUGACAACUGACGCUGAGACUCGAAAGCAUGGGGAGCGAACAGG
rnacentral:rRNA from 1 species